GUUGGUAGGUCAGUGGUAGAGUGCAUGCUUUGUAUGUUUGAUGUCCUAUGUUCAAUCCCCAGCGUCUACC